CCUCAGGCUCUAUUGUAAUUACAGAAUGUAUUGGAAACAAUGCAGAAAUAAGGAUUUUGUCUGUCAAAUACUAGAAUUCAAAGAAUUCUAGUCAAAGAAUCCUCAUAUUUGUUACAACUAAUAUGCAUAGACUAAUCGAGUGUGUAGCAGAGAAUAUUAUAUGUCUAUUUUUCAUGCAAAUAGAACUCUGUUAAAAUGUAAAAAGAUAUUAAUUGUGGCAUGGGUAAGUUUGUGACCUCUGAAUGCUGUCUUAAAGGGUAACUUAUUAUUUGAAGUGCUUGCUGUUAUUUUAUUCAUUUGUUCUCAGCCAGUUUUUCAUUGCAGGAGGAUGUUGCUGCAGAGAAGAGAAAACAGGCUGUUGUAGAACAAGUUAUGGUAGAUCAAUUAUGUAGAGGUGUUAUAAGUGAUCCAGAGCAGUCCACACGUUCUGAUGCUUGCAAGGAAGCUCAAGGACUUCUGGGAGCUGGGAGAGCACCAAUGCAUUUUAGGAAAAGGACACUCCAUGAAACCAUAAUAAGGACCAAAUCAGGACUAACUGAGAACAUGCUCUCCAACAAGCUACGCUUUGAUAGUAAGAUUAUAUCGAGAAAUAGUCACGAUGCUUGUAGGGAGUUGAUUGGAUUUUUUUUUGCAUGUGAUAAAUCCCUUACUGUGUAUGAAUUUCGACAGUUUGGAAAAAACAGAGCUUCUUCUGUGGAACUCAAGGAAGAGUGUUCCAGGCAAGUGGUUCAUGACAGCAAAGUUUUCAAGAAGAUUAAAGGUAUAUUCAGAGAAAUGCUAAGUAAAAGAGGAGUUUGGGUUACAACAGGCUUAGGAAAGUAUUUCUGACAAAUAGACGAGCAGAAAUGGCUUUCUCUCUCAGGCAGCCUUGAAAGAAGCUCUAAAACGAUUCCAUUUGGAAAUGCCUGAAGGGGUGAGUCUAGCUGAAACUAAACGUGGGUAUUCUCU
rnacentral:lncRNA from 12 species